rnacentral:misc_RNA from 1 species
UCCGGUUUGUCACCGGCGGUCUCCUUAGAGUGCCCAACUGAAUGCUGGCAACUAAGGACAAGGGUUGCGCUCGUUGCGGGACUUAACCCAACAUCUCACGACACGAGCUGACGACAGCCAUGCAGCACCUGUGCAGGAUCUCCGAAGAGGGGCUCUCGUUUCUGAGAGCUUGCUCCUGCAUGUCAAGCCUAGGUAAGGUUCUUCGCGUUGCGUCGAAUUGAACCACAUGCUCCACCGCUUGUGCGGGCCCCCGUCAGUUCCUUUGAGUUUCAGCCUUGCGACCGUACUCCCCAGGCGGUGUGCUUAACGCGUUAGCUGCGACACCGGGAAACUAGGUCCCCCAACGUCUAGCACACAUCGUUUACAGCGUGGACUAC